rnacentral:rRNA from 1 species
CCCUAAGGUGAGGCAGAGAUGCGUAACUGAUGGGAAACAGGUCAAUAUUCCUGUACCGAUGUGUAGUGCGAUGUGGGGACGGAUCUUAAUAGGUCAUCCGGGUGUUGGAUAUCCCGGUUUAGGCAGAUGUAGGCGACAGGUAGGCAAAUCCGCCUGUCAUAUACCGAGGCUGCCGAUCGAGCGAGCUUGCUCGCGAAGUGAUUGAACGAGGUUCCAGGAAAAGCCACUAAGCUUCAGCUACACACGACCGUACCGCAAACCGACACUGGUGCGCGAGAUGAGUAUUCUAAGGCGCUUGAGAGAACUCGGGAGAAGGAACUCGGCAAAUUGACACCGUAACUUCGGAAGAAGGUGUGCCCUAUUAGUGUGAAGUGAACAACGGAGCAUGAAUGGGUUGCAAAAAAUCGGUGGCUGCGACUGUUUAUUAAAAACACAGCACUCUGCAAACACGAAAGUGGACGUAUAGGGUGUGACGCCUGCCCGGUGCUGGAAGAUUAAAUGAUGGGGUGCAAGCUCUUGAUUGAAGUCCCAGUAAACGGCGGCCGUAACAAUAACGGUCCUAAGGUAGCGAAAUUCCUUGUCGGGUAAGUUCCGACCUGCACGAAUGGCGUAACGAUGGCCACACUGUCUCCUCCCGAGACUCAGCGAAGUUGAAAUGUUUGUGAUGAUGCAAUCUCCCCGCGGAAAGACGGAAAGACCCCAUGAACCUUUACUGUAGCUUUGUAUUGGACUUUGAACAGAUCUGUGUAGGAUAGGUGGGAGGCUUUGAAGCAGGGUCGCUAGAUCUUGUGGAGCCAACGUUGAAAUACCACCCUGGUGUGUUUGAGGUUCUAACCUAGGUCCAUUAUCUGGAUCGGGGACAGUGCAUGGUAGGCAGUUUGACUGGGGCGGUCUCCUCCCAAAGCGUAACGGAGGAGUUCGAAGGUACGCUAGUUACGGUCGGACAUCGUGACGAUAGUGCAAUGGCAUAAGCGUGCUUAACUGCGAGACUGACAAGUCGAGCAGAUGCGAAAGCAGGACAUAGUGAUCCGGUGGUUCUGUAUGGAAGGGCCAUCGCUCAACGGAUAAAAGGUACUCUGGGGAUAACAGGCUGAUACCGCCCAAGAGUUCAUAUCGACGGCGGUGUUUGGCACCUCGAUGUCGGCUCAUCUCAUCCUGGGGCUGUAGCCGGUCCCAAGGGUAUGGCUGUUCGCCAUUUAAAGAGGUACGUGAGCUGGGUUUAAAACGUCGUGAGACAGUUUGGUCCCUAUCUUCCGUGGGCGCUGCAGAUUUGAGGAAGCCUGCUCCUAGUACGAGAGGACCGGAGUGGACGCACCUCUGGUGUAUCGGUUGUCACGCCAGUGGCAUUGCCGAGUAGCUAUGUGCGGAAGAGAUAACCGCUGAAAGCAUCUAAGCGGGAAACUCGUUCCAAGAUGAGAUCUGCCGGGGCCUUGAGCCCCCUAAAGAGUCGUUCAAGACCAGGACGUUGAUAGGUCGGGUGUGGAAGCGCAGUAAUGCGUUAAGCUAACCGAUACUAAUUGCUCGUGCGGCUUGACCCU